rnacentral:lncRNA from 1 species
AACAUUAACACCCAGCAACCAGGAGAGGAGAGAGGCCUGGGGAAGACAGCCACCACCAAGUACACAAAGGUUGAAAGAGGACGUUUGUGGGAAGUAGACAUUUGUGAAUGUGGAUUUAGAAGAUUUUUCCCUGUGAUGAGCUGAGUCAUGGGUGAGAGCUGGAGAAAACAGAGUCUUCUCAAUGCGAAGAUGAUGAGAAUGGAGACUUUUAUGAUGAUCCACUUCCACUUAAUGAAUAGAGUUCCUGGUUGUUACACUUAAAUUGAUCCAAGAGAGGGUAUUUCUUUUUCUGGAGGCCAAUUGAAUGGUGAAAUGGAG